rnacentral:rRNA from 1 species
CCUACGGGGGGCAGCAGUGGGGAAUAUUGCGCAAUGGGCGAAAGCCUGACGCAGCGACGCCGCGUGAGGGAUGAAGGUCUUCGGAUUGUAAACCUCUGUCAGCAGGGAAGAACGGUCACUGUGCUAAUCAGCAGUGAAUUGACGGUACCUGCAAAGGAAGCACCGGCUAACUCCGUGCCAGCAGCCGCGGUAAUACGGAGGGUGCGAGCGUUAAUCGGAAUUACUGGGCGUAAAGCGCUCGUAGGCGGUAUGUCAAGUCAAGGGUGAAAUCCCCGCGCUCAACGUGAAAACUGCUUUUGAAACUGGCAAACUUGAGUAUAUGAGAGGAUAGUGGAAUUCCAGGUGUAGGGGUGAAAUGCGUAGAUAUCUGGAGGAACAUCAGUGGCGAAGGCGACUAUCUGGCACAUAACUGACGCUGAGGAGCGAUAGCGUGGGUAGCAAACAGGAUUAGAUACCCCUGUAGUC